AAAUAAACGAUUACUUACGAGUGACAGAUUGUGAUGAUUUAUAU
rnacentral:guide_RNA from 1 species